rnacentral:rRNA from 1 species
AGUGAACGCUGGCGGUAGGCCUAACACAUGCAAGUCGAACGGCAGCACAGUAAGAGCUUGCUCUUACGGGUGGCGAGUGGCGGACGGGUGAGGAAUACAUCGGAAUCUACUUUUUCGUGGGGGUUAACGUAGGGAAACUUACGCUAAUACCGCAUACGACCUACGGGUGAAAGCAGGGGAUCUUCGGACCUUGCGCGAUUGAAUGAGCCGGUGUCGGAUUAGCUAGUUGGCGGGGUAAAGGCCCACCAAGGGGACGAUCCGUAGCUGGGCUGAGAGGAUGAUCAGCGACACUGGAGGUGAGAGGCGGUCCAGACUCCUACGGGAGGCAGCGGUGGGGAAGAGUGGACAAUGGGGGCAAGCCUGAUCCAGCCAUGGCGCGUGGGUGAAGAAGGCCUUCGGGUUGGAAAGCCCUUUUGUUGGGAAAGAAAAGCAGCAGGUUAAUACCCGGCUGUGCUGACGGUACCCAAAGAAUAAGCACCGGCUAACUUCGU